rnacentral:misc_RNA from 1 species
GGAAGUAAAAGUCGUAACAAUGUUUCCGUAGGUGAACCUGCGGAAGGAUCAUUAUCGUACAAAAUGUGAGGGGCAUGCGAGGGCUGUCGCUGACCCAAAAGUCGUGCACGCCCGAGUGUGUCCUCUUGCAUAAUAAUCCAUCUCACCCUUUGUGCAUCGCCGCGUGGGCACCCUUCGGGAUCAUCUCGGAGGGGGGCUCGCGUUUUCACACAAACCCCCCUUUUAAAAGUGUAGAAUGACCACAUUUAUGCAAUCAAUACAACUUUCAACAACGGAUCUCUUGGCUCUC